rnacentral:rRNA from 1 species
CAAGAGCGUAUGUAAAAGUUGUUGCAGUUAAAAAGCUCGUAGUUGAACCUUGGGUUUGGUUGGCCGGUCCGCUUUUUUGCGAGUACUGGAUUCAACCGAGCCUUUCCUUCUGGCUAACCAGUCGUUUCGGCGGCUGGCGAACCAGGAUUUUUACUUUGAGAAAAUUAGAGUGUUCAAAGCAGGCAUUAGCUUGAAUAUAUUAGCAUGGAAUAAUAGAAUAGGACGUUAUGGUUCUAUUUUGUUGGUUUCUAGGACCAUCGUAAUGAUUAAUAGAGACGGUCGGGGGCAUCAGUAUUCAGUUGUCAGAGGUGAAAUUCUUGGAUUUACUGAAGACUAACUACUGCGAAAGCAUUUGCCAAGGACGUUUUCAUUAA